rnacentral:rRNA from 1 species
AGUGAACGCUGGCGGCGUGCUUAACACAUGCAAGUCGAACGAUGAAGUCCUUCGGGAUGGAUUAGUGGCGCACGGGUGAGUAAUAUAUAGGUAAUGUGCCUCUUAGUCUGGGAUAGCCACUGGAAACGGUGAUUAAUACCGGAUACUCCUUCUUACUACAAGGUAAGUCGGGAAAGUUUUUCGCUAAGAGAUCGGCCUAUAUCCUAUCAGUUAGUUGGUGAGGUAAUGGCUCACCAAGGCAAUGACAGGUAGCGGGUUUGAGAGGAUGAUCCGCCACACUGGUACUGAGACACGGACCAGACUCCUACGGGAGGCAGCAGUGAGGAAUAUUGCACAAUGGGGGAAACCCGUGAUGCAGCAACGCCGCGUGGAGGAUGACGCAUUUCGGUGUGUAAACUCCUUUUAUGAGUCAAGAAAAUGACGGUAGCUCAUGAAUAAGCACCGGCUAACUCCGUGCCAGCAGCCGCGGUAAUGUCUGUACU